rnacentral:rRNA from 1 species
UACGUAGGGGGCGAGCGUUACCCGGAUUUACUGGGCGUAAAGAGCGUGUAGGCGGCUGGCCAAGCGUGAUGUGAAAUCUUCGGGCUUAACCCGAAAACUGCAUUGCGAACUGGUCUGGCUAGAGUGUGUGAGAGGGUAGUGGAAUUCCCGGUGUAGCGGUGAAAUGCGCAGAUAUCGGGAGGAACACCGGUGGCGAAGGCGGUUCUCUGGGCCUUACCUGACGCUGAGGAGCGAAAGCGUGGGGAGCGAACAGG